CGGAGGGUGCAAGCGUUAUCCGGAUUCACUGGGUUUAAAGGGUGCGUAGGUGGGCAAGUAAGUCAGUGGUGAAAUCUCCGGGCUUAACCCGGAAACUGCCAUUGAUACUAUUUGUCUUGAAUACUGUGGAGGUCAGCGGAAUAUGUCAUGUAGCGGUGAAAUGCUUAGAUAUGACAUAGAACACCAAUUGCGAAGGCAGCCGGCUACACAAAUAUUGACACUGAGGCACGAAAGCGUGGGGAUCAAACAGGAUUAGAUACCCUGGUAGUCCACGCCCUAAACUAUGGAUACUCGACAUUUGCGAUAAACUGCAAGUGUCGGAGCGAAAGCAUUAAGUAUCCCACCUGGGAAGUACGAUCGCAAGAUUG
rnacentral:rRNA from 1 species